rnacentral:lncRNA from 10 species
CGUGUAUUGCGCGUGUACUUUGGGUGGCCCUGUGCUGCGUCAGCUGGAAGGGAUCCAGAGAAAAAGACAGAGCCCUCUUUGAAGACAUCCAGAGAGAGAUCUAGGAUGUUGGGAAGGAACAAAGAAAUUCAGGCAUCUCUCCUGAGAAGAGAAAGGGAGUAGAAUGCUCCAUCAUGAUGCUAACCACAAGAAUUGACUUGACGGGACAGAAUCAAGGGGAAGAACGUCAGUGAAACUUCUGGUGACAAUCACCCACUUAGGAAAACAUAAAGUUUGGCAACCCUAUAUUGACUCCACCAUGCCUUGGGAAAGGCAGCCCGCAUCAGUGGCAGGAAAUAUUGGUGGAGCGAGCUGGGACUUGCAGGUGACCAAGAAGGGGGAUCCCGGAACCGGAAUUGUCUCCCUUGGCGUUCCGGAAGUAGAAGCAGAGUCAUUGCUGGGUGGCGCCAGCCCUCAGACUUGCCUCUUUGCAGUAGGAAGAAGGCCUCCCCACAUACCUUCCCACACUCAUCACCUUAAGCCAGACUCGGUGUCCAGUGAAUAUGACCAUCUCUUGCCCAUUUUCUAAUGAGUGUUUUCAUUAAUGAGUUAUAAGAAUGUGGUGGGUAAAUCUAUGGGCUUUGAACUAGUGAAUCAACUUGGUUUCAGAAUCUGGCACUGCUACUUACUAGUGAAUUUAAGCAAGUUAUUUCACCUUUCAGAGUGUCAGUUCCCUCAUGCAUACAAGGAAGAUAAAAAAUAAUGUAUACAAAAGUAUUGGAGUAAUUAAUACAUGGAGAACUACAUGUAAAGCGUUUAGCAUGAUGUCUGACAUAUUAAGCAUCCAAUAUUAGUUGCUUGCAGAAUUAUUAGUAAAAGAGAUUGCUUCUGAAAGCCAUUCCAAUUCUUAAAUUUUAUAAUGCCACAUUUGAGGUCACCUGAAGUACGUGUAUAACAUGUGUACAUUUUUGCGAUUUAUUUUUUCAAUUCCCAGAUUAGAGGCAUAGAGAUAUCCUAGCAAGGACUCCAAGUGUGUAGAUCUGUCAAAGAUAUGAACAUGAAAGAACAGCUUAUUUCAAUAAACCCACUUUACAUACCUUGUGUGCUUGUUUUUAACAAUAAAAAUUGGAAAGAUAAUUAAGGAACUGAAAAACCAGAGGGUAAAUUCUACAGUUUCCUUAAUUUAAAGAGUAAUUGUUUUUAAUUCUGAUUCACCUAAGAAGAAGGCAUUUAACUUGUAGGGCUUUCUGUAUUUACAUGUAUUAUAUAUUAAAUCCUCACAAUUGUUUGCAGUCAUUAUUAUUAUUAUUAUUAUUAUGCCCAUAUAAUAUGUUAAUGUGGAAACUGAGGCUCACAAAGCUUAAUUAAAUUGCCCAAGUUCCUAAAAUUAAUA